UACGUAGGGCGCAAGCGUUGUCCGGAAUUAUUGGGCGUAAAGAGCUCGUAGGCGGCCUGUUGCGUCCGCUGUGAAAUCCCGGGGCUCAACCCCGGGCGUGCAGUGGAUACGGGCUGGCUGGAGGCAGGCAGGGGAGAACGGAAUUCCUGGUGUAGCGGUGAAAUGCGCAGAUAUCGGGAAGAACACCCGUGGCGAAGGCGGCUCUCUAGUACGGUACUGACGCUGAGACGCGAAAGCGUGGGGAGCGAACAGG
rnacentral:rRNA from 1 species